AAUAAAUUUAUGGAAAUAAAUAUGGAAAUUGUAAUCCCAAAAGCGUGGCUUGUACGAUAAAACUGAUUGAUCGAAAAUGUAUUUUAUUGUCUCUUUUAUUCAACGGAUUUAUAAAAAUCACUUUACCAGGAACACAAUUCAUCAAAUUUAUAAAUAUGACCCACUGGACAAUGAAUGAUUGAAGUUCCUCAAAUUAAAAGUAUGGGAGAAUGAAAUUCAUGCUAACGUCAAUGCGAUAAUGGAAGCGGCAGCAGCUUCACCUGAUAUGGCGGGAGACGAAGACAUUGAAGCGACAGAUGGCGGUAUCUGCUUUGAAUAUUUCAACAUUUCCGCUUAUUAUUUUACGUGUCGGAUUUACGUGUCACGCAGCCUCGUGCACUGGGGAAUAUUACGGGCAGAAUGCCGGCAAGAGGUGUGUGCUGUUAACUGGCUGAAACUAAUCCUGAGGUCAUUUCUUGGCCCCACACCUCGAUUGUUUCCAUUUGGACGAGCUGCGUUGGACCCACCGCCUUUCUCUGGGUGGAUCAUUCCUGCCGCUUAAUCUGCGACCCGUUUAGGUUCCUAUCGAUACACAAGGAUAUUCUAUCAGCGCCGGCCAACACCCUGGAGAACGAAGUGGCCAAGUUGCCGCUAAGCUAAGCAACACGUUAUGCCAAAUGACAUUUAUCGUAUAAUAAACAAAAC